GAGGUAGUGACAAGAAAUAACAAUACAGGACUUUUUUAGUUUUGUAAUUGGAAUGAGUUAAGUAUAAACCCCUUUACAAGUAUCAAUUGGAGGGCAAGUCUGGUGCCAGCAGCCGCGGUAAUUCCAGCUCCAAUAGCGUAUAUUAAAGUUGUUGCAGUUAAAAAGCUCGUAGUUGGAUUUCUGUUAAUAAUUUAUAUAUAAUAUUUUUAAUAUUUAUAUAAUAUUAACAUAAUUCAUAUUACUAUAAUUUUUAUUAGUAUAUGAA
rnacentral:rRNA from 1 species